rnacentral:lncRNA from 1 species
UUUUAUUUUAUUUUUUAAAAAUAGCAAAAAUACUCAAAAAAAUCUGAAAUUUUUCGUGAGUGAUCCCUGAUGAGUCCUUGACUUUUUGGUGCCAUUGCCCAAUUAUUUCAUGACACGUGGAAUUUAAUAUGAAUUUCUGAUCCAUUUAUGUGCAUUUUCGACCAUUUGCAUUAAAACCUUCAUGAAAUCCCAUAUUUUAACCAUUCUGACCCAA